UUUGCUUCCUAACCCGUUGCCGGGUUGGAGAUUCCACCUCCGAAGUUUUCUUUCUGACUUUUGAUUUUACAUUCCUAGUACAGUGGAGAAGCCCAGGCGGCCUAGAAUCCAGUGUCGUCCGUGAGUGCUUGGCUGGUGGUCAAGUGCAUCUUCCAGCCUGAGACCGCGUGGACUCGCUCAUCGUGAGGGCGAGAGGAGGAUAAGCCCAUUGGGCUGUCGGCUGAGAGUGAGGUGCGGGACCAUCCACAAUAUUGUUUGAACAUCUGAAGACAUGGGGGACUUGCCAUCUGAUAUCUGAUAACAGACUUCCUGUAAAGCAGGACUGGUAGUUUCCUGAUAACAAAUUCUUCAAUAUGAAGAUAUGGAUAAAGCAUUUGGCUGCCAAUAAUGAACUGCACCAAAGUCACCAAUUCAAACCAUGCCCUGGUAAAUAGUAUCAUCAGUGAUGAUGAUGAUGAUGAUGAUGAUGAUAAUGUCACAUGUUAAAAAUGUCAUAUAGAUUUUAGCAUCUUGAGGACCUGAUACUCUGUAACAGUGGUCCCUAACCUUUUUGGCACCAGGGACCACUUUCAUGGAAGACAGUUUUUCCGUGGACCAGGAGAGGGGGUGGUUUUGGGAUUAUUCAAGCACAUUACAUGUAGUGUGCAUUUUAUUUCUAUUAUUAUUAUAUUGUAAUAAUAUAUUUUAUUAUAAUAUAAAAUAAGUAUACAACUCAUCAUAAUGUAGAAUCAGUGGAAGCCCUGAGCUUGUUUUCCUGCAACUAGACUGUCCCAUCUAGGGGUGAUGGGAGACAGUGACAGAUCAUCAGGUGUUAGAUUCUCAUAAGGAGCGUGAAACCUAGAUCCCUCACAUGAGCAGUUCACAAUAGAGUUCGUUCCUGAGAGAACCUAAUGCCGCCGCUGAUCUGACAGGAGGCAGAGCUCAGGCGGUAAUGCGAGCAAUGGGGAUCGGCUGUAAAUAUAGAUGAUGCUUUGCUCACUUGCCCACUGCUAACCUCCUUAUGUGUGACCUGGUUCCUAACAGGCCACUUACUGGGGGUUGGGGACACCUGCUCUAUAAGAUAUCCUUCUAGAAUGAUAUAGUACUAAGCUGAUGCUCAAGAGAAAUUUUGAACUAAAUGUGUAAAUUCGGCUACCUAUAUAAACAAGAACUUCCUAAAUCAUUCUGUUCCAUAGCAAAACACAACCACAUAAGCCAGUUCUUCACAUCUAGGCACCACAGUGUUUGUUAGAUAUAGCUGUGUCCUUUACAACUGGUAGCAUGGAAAGAAAGAGAAGUCUGCAAAGAUUGAACAAACAGCAUGCACUGUGGUAUCCUUUAUUUAAAAAUUGUGAGCUGACUACAGUUGUAGUGUUCUCAUUUACCAUUCUGAUGGCAUAAUAAACCAAGAGAACAUUAACACAAUUCCAAGAAGCCAUUAACCUGUAACACACAUAUACGCCACACAUGCACACACACAACAUACACGCACACAAAGGUUAUAUUCUGAACACAAAAGUGAUAGAAAAAAGCUUUGAAUGCACUAAAUCAAAUAAAAACCCUUUAUUAUAAUAAACUGUGGCAAUACUGUGGCUAUUAUGAAAAAUAUUGUAACUAUUUUAAAAGCAAAAGGAAAAAUACUGGCAGUUUGAAACUAGCAGCAAAAAGCAGAUAAAAAUAGAAUGGAAGAUAACAUAAGACUAAUAUCAAAAUUCUAAUGUUGAUACUGUGUAGGAUUGCACUGAAGUAAUUUUAAAUUGGUUCUUAAGGAACUCUUAAAAAGUCCCUUAAAAAUAUUAAAUUGUUGCACCUUACAAACAGUGGAAAAGAAAAAAAAGUAUUUGGAAUGUUACACACACACACAGAGGAAAUGUAUUAGGUCUAUCAUCAAUUAUGGUCUUUGUUUAUGACCUUCAAAAAGUUUUAUAAAGAAAAAAUUUAAGUGCCAAUGUAGUGAAAGAAAGUUAAAAAUUCCUAAAGACGCAAGUCUGAGUGCAUUUACCAGGUCUAAGAAUAUAUUUAAAGGUUGGGGGCAAGGCAUGAUUGAUGCACAUU